rnacentral:tRNA from 1 species
AGUCUUAUAUUCAAUAAUGAUAUAAAAUUGCAAAUUUUAAGGAGUAAAUAUUUUAAUACUAAGGCUU